UACGUAGGGUCCGAGCGUUGUCCGGAAUUACUGGGCGUAAAGAGCUCGUAGGCGGCCUGUUGCGUCCGCUGUGAAAGCCCGGGGCUUAACCCCGGGUCUGCAGUGGGUACGGGCAGACUAGAGUGCGGUAGGGGUGACUGGAAUUCCUGGUGUAGCGGUGGAAUGCGCAGAUAUCAGGAGGAACACCGAUGGCGAAGGCAGGUCACUGGGCCGCAACUGACGCUGAGGAGCGAAAGCAUGGGGAGCGAACAGG
rnacentral:rRNA from 1 species